rnacentral:rRNA from 1 species
AUUGAACGCUGGCGGCAGGCCUAACACAUGCAAGUCGAACGAGAGGCUGACGGGUGAGUAAUGACUGGGAAAAUGCCCGAUGGAGGGGGAUAACUACUGGAAACGGUAGCUAAUACCGCAUACCAGCGGCUGUGCCCAGAUGGGAUUAGCUAGGAGGUGGGGUACAGGCUCACCUAGGCGACGAUCCCUAGCUGGUCUGAGAGGAUGAACAGCCAGACUGGAACUGAGACACGGUCCAGACGCCUACGGGAGGCAGCAGUGGGGAAUAUUGCACAAUGGGCGCAAGCCUGAUGCAGCCAUGCCGCGUGUAUGAAGAAGGCCUUCGGGUUGUAAAGUACUUGCAGCGGGGAGGCGUUACCCGCAGAAGAAGCACCGGCUAACUCCGUGUCAGCAGCCGCGGUAAUAC